AGUUCUUACCUAUAGACAUGAAACAUUGAAAGUUAAAACUGCAUACGUGUAAGUAAUAUUAAGAGACACUGGAUCUUCUGCGUCAAUACUUUAGGUGUGUAUUAAUGUUGCUUAUUACAGAACAAGGUUAUGUCUUUGUCUUUUUCACUAUUUUUUUGCCCUACAGAAUGCUUGUUAUCGGUUUAUAGUUCAUGGUAGUGUCUAGAGUUAGAACUUAGGAAAUUGACUUCCCUUUUAUCUCUGUAGAUUGUUGGGUGUAAGUUUUCUAUAGGCUAUUCAUGACUUCAGAACCUGCAUCCUUUACUACCCUAACGUCCAAACAGAAUAGGUAGCUGACUUCUUCUUUACUUAUUCAUGAAGCUACUGUAACUAGUGUAGUUGCUAGAUAUUUAAUCUCCGAUUUGCCAUGGGUAUUGAUUAGUUGGUUCGAAAUUAUCAAUUUAAUAAAUAGCUUGCAUUGAAACACUUAUAGAAAAACUAACCUUAUCCCUAUCCUCCAGGUCAGCUCCUGGUCUUUUCAAAUUCUUAUGUCAAGACCCGGGUGAAAAAAGUUAGCUUUGAAACAAUAUCGAUAUUUCGAUACAAGGUAUUAUUAGAGGAAAAAAAUAAUUCUUCAAGCCAUUAUGUUCAGUUUUGGCCUAUUACCUGUGUAGAACCAACUGAUAUUUAGUUGCUGCAAAUGAUUUUUUUGUGUAGUGUAAUAGAAUUUGCUAUAAUAUCUUUCCUGUAAUGAAAUGCUUAUACCUCAAAAUCACUUGAUGUUUGUUGAGUUGGUGCUUCCGAGGACUAGAAGCGCCACAAGCUAAAACAUGAGACCCAAUAAACAGGGUCAUCGAGUACCAACCAGUGCCUGAGCUCACUGGUUUUUACUAUAAAUGUGUAUACUUUCUAUUCUGUAUACAAGAUAUGAUGGUAUUGUGCUAACAUUGGAGGAACAAGCAGCGAAUCGGGAACAAAUGAGGAAAAUUGAGAACCUUUGGUCAGACAAGUAAGAUGGAAGCCAGUUAGAUGAACCCUAUUAGAUGAACCUUGUUGUGUAUUUUAUCUAAUGGUUUCAAACCAUGUUGUUCAUGAUGUGGACAUGAACCCUAUUGGUCAUGUAAGUUAGAUGCCUCGAUUGUGAACCCUUGAAUGUUUCAGAAUGUUGGUUUCAGACCUAGACUGCUUGGAAAUAUUGGUUUUAAACAUUGUUUAA